AAAUAACUGGAAUUUGAAAGGAGGACAGAGGAGCCUCCGCUGGAGCUAGGGGGCUCCGUUACAGAUCCUUUUGGCAGAAGUUGACAAUUGGGUAUCAAAACAGUGGAAGGUGUUUCGGGAGGUAGCUACAGCAAGCUGGGUAGCAGGCAGAUCCAAAGGAUAUCAUGAAGUUUCCAGGGCCUUUGGAAAACCAGAGAUUGUCUUUCCUGUUGGAAAAGGCAAUCACUAGGGAAGCACAGAUGUGGAAAGUGAAUGUGCGGAAAAUGCCUUCAAAUCAGAAUGUUUCUCCAUCCCAGAGAGAUGAAGUAAUUCAAUGGCUGGCCAAACUCAAGUACCAAUUCAACCUUUACCCAGAAACAUUUGCUCUGGCUAGCAGUCUUUUGGAUAGGUUUUUAGCUACCGUAAAGGCUCAUCCAAAAUACUUGAGUUGUAUUGCAAUCAGCUGUUUUUUCCUAGCUGCCAAGACUGUUGAGGAAGAUGAGAGAAUUCCAGUACUAAAGGUAUUGGCAAGAGACAGUUUCUGUGGAUGUUCCUCAUCUGA
rnacentral:lncRNA from 1 species